rnacentral:rRNA from 1 species
GUCCAUGGCGAGCCUGACGGAGCACGCCGCGUGAGGGAUGAAGGCCUCUGGGCUGUAAACCUCUUUUAUCAAGGAAGAAGAUCUGACGGUACUUGAUGAAUAAGCCACGGCUAAUUCCGUGCCAGCAGCCGCGGUAAUACGGGAGUGGCAAGCGUUAUCCGGAAUUAUUGGGCGUAAAGCGUCCGCAGGCGGCCCUUCAAGUCUGCUGUUAAAAAGUGGAGCUUAACUCCAUCAUGGCAGUGGAAACUGUUGGGCUUGAGUGUGGUAGGGGCAGAGGGAAUUCCCGGUGUAGCGGUGAAAUGCGUAGAUAUCGGGAAGAACACCAGUGGCGAAGGCGCUCUGCUGGGCCAUCACUGACGCUCAUGGACGAAAGCCAGGGGAGCGAAAGGGAUUAGAUACCCCUGUAGUCCUGGCCGUAAACGAUGAACACUAGGUGUCGGGGGAAUCGACCCCCUCGGUGUCGUAGCCAACGCGUUAAGUGUUCCGCCUGGGGAGUACGCACGCAAGUGUGAAACUCAAAGA